rnacentral:misc_RNA from 1 species
GGCUUACCUUCGUAGGUGAACCUGCGGAGGAUCAUUAAAGUUUGCUUAAUUGCAUUACACAUGUUUUUUUAGAGAACUUGCUUGCAAGAACACUAAUAAUUUACUUAGUCAACAAAUAAAAAUAUCAAAACUUUCAACAACGGAUCUCUUGGUUCUCGCAUCGACUGAAGAACCAACGAAAUGCGAUACGUAAUAUGAAUUGCAGAUUUUCGUGAAUCAUCGAAUCUUUGAACGCACAUUGCGCCCUGUGAUCGAUGAAGAACACA